UGCAGUCGAACGGUGAUCGAGUGCUUGCACUCGUGGAUCAGUGGCGAACGGGUGAGUAACACGUGAGUAACCUGCCCUCCACUCUGGGAUAAGCGCUGGAAACGGCGUCUAAUACCGGAUAUGACCGACCCUCGCAUGGGGUGUUGGUGGAAAGAUUUAUCGGUGGUGGAUGGACUCGCGGCCUAUCAGCUUGUUGGUGGGGUAAAGGCCUACCAAGGCGACGACGGGUAGCCGGCCUGAGAGGGCGACCGGCCACACUGGGACUGAGACACGGCCCAGACUCCUACGGGAGGCAGCAGUGGGGAAUAUUGCACAAUGGGCGAAAGCCUGAUGCAGCGACGCCGCGUGAGGGAUGACGGCCUUCGGGUUGUAAACCUCUUUCAGCAGGGAAGAAGCUUUUGUGACGGUACCUGCAGAAGAAGCACCGGCUAACUACGUGCCAGCAGCCGCGGUAAUACGUAGGGUGCGAGCGUUGUCCGGAAUUAUUGGGCGUAAAGAGCUUGUAUGCGGUUUGUCGCGUCUGCUGUGAAAAUCUAGGGCUUAACCCUGGACGUGCAGUGGGUACGGGCAGACUAGAGUAUGGUAGGGGAGACUGGAAUUCCUGGUGUAGCGGUGGAAUGCGCAGAUAUCAGGAGGAACACCGAUGGCGAAGGCAGGUCUCUGGGCCAUUACUGACGCUGA
rnacentral:rRNA from 1 species